rnacentral:rRNA from 1 species
CACGCAGGCGGAUCGAUAAGUCAGGGGUGAAAUCCCGGGGCUCAACCUCGGAAUUGCCUUUGAUACUGUCUAUCUUGAGUUCGGGAGAGGUUGGCGGAAUUCCUAGUGUAGAGGUGAAAUUCGUAGAUAUUAGGAAGAACACCAGUGGCGAAGGCGGCCAACUGGCCCGAUACUGACGCUCAUGUGCGAAAGCGUGGGGAGCAAACAGGAUUAGAUACCCUGGUAGUCCACGCCGUAAACUAUGGAUGCUAGCCGUUGGGGAGCUUGCUCUUCAGUGGCGCAGCUAACGUCUUAAGCAUCCCGCCUGGGGAGUACGGUCGCAAGAUUAAA